UACGUAGGGCGCAAGCGUUAUCCGGAAUUAUUGGGUGUAAAGAGCUCGUAGGCGGUUUGUCGCGUCUGCCGUGAAAGUCCGGGGCUCAACUCCGGAUCUGCGGUGGGUACGGGCAGACUAGAGUGAUGUAGGGGAGACUGGAAUUCCUGGUGUAGCGGUGAAAUGCGCAGAUAUCAGGAGGAACACCGAUGGCGAAGGCAGGUCUCUGGGCCGAUACUGACGCUGAGGAGCGAAAGCAUGGGGAGCGAACAGG
rnacentral:rRNA from 1 species